UGCAGUCCGAGCGGCAUGCAGCAAAAACUAGGUUGUUUCUCUUCAGCGGGCAGAGGGGUAAGGGUGACUAUAAAUCGGACUGGGCCUGGGGGAGGGGGAUACCUACGGAAAGCAGAGACCGCAACCGUCCACCCCCUAAAGGCGAGGGACCUUGAUCCCUUGACCUCUCACAUGAGCCUAGGCCGAAUUAGCUUUUUGGUGAGGUAGGGGCUCAGGCUGGCCACGAUCCGUAUCUGGUCUGAGAGGAUGAUCACUACCACUGGAACUGAGACACAGACCAGACCCCUACUGGAGGCAGAGGUGGGGAAUAUUGAUUUUGGGGCGAAAGCCUGAUCCAGCCCUGCCGCGUGUGUGAAGAAGGUCUUCGGAUUGUAAAGCACUUUAAGUUGGGAGGAAGGGCAGUAACCGAAUACCUUGCUGUUUUGACGUUACCGACAGAAUAAGCACCGGCCAACUCUGUGCCAGUGCCCGCGGUAAUACAAAGGGUGCAGGCGUUAAUCGGAAUUACAGGGCGGAAAGCGCGCGUAGGUGGUUUCGUUAUAGUUGGAAUGUAGAAAUCCCCGGCCUCGGCCUGGGACAAUCUGCAUCUGCAUUCUGACGAGCUAGAGCUAGGAGCAGAGGGUGAGGGGAGAAUUUCACUGUUGUCGCGGUAGACAAUGCGUAUGAUAUAGAAAUGUAGCACACAAUUGCCGAUGGGCGACCGCCGUGCGCCUGAUACUGAUCACUGACGGCUGCAGAACAGCGAUGGGGGAGCAGACACGGAUUAGGAUAUACCAUGCUCGUGCCUACGUCCGUCACACGAUGUCGACGUAGCACGUUUGCUAUUCGGUGGCGAUUAUAACUGUACGCAGCUCAACGCAUUAAGUUGACCGCCUGGGGAGUAGGGCCGCAAGGUUAAAAUUCAACUGAAUGGAAGGGGGCCGGCCCCACACGGUGGGGCAUGUGGUUUAGUUUAAAGCAACGCAAAGAACAAAACCAGGCCUACCCAUCCAAUGAACUUUCAGCAGAAGAAAUGGGGCCUUGGGGAACAGAGAACCGGAAGACGCAUGGCGCUUGUCAGUUGUCAUCUUGAGUUGUUGGGUUAAGUCCUAAAUCCAGCACAACCCUCGUCCUUAGUCACCAGCAGGUACGCGUGGGCACUCUAAGGAGACUGCCGGUGACAAACCGGAGGAAGGUGGGGAUGACGUCAAGUCAUCAUGGCCCUUACGGCUAGGGCUUCACACGUCAUACAAUGGUCGGGACAGAGGGUCGCCAACCCGCGAGGGGGAGCCAAUCUCACAAACCCGAUCGUAGUCCGGAUCGCAGUCUGCAACUCGAUUGCGUGAAGUGGGAAUCGCUGGUAAUCGCGAAUCAGAAUGUCGCGGUGAAUACGUUCCCGGGCCUUGUACACACCGCCCGUCACACCAUGGGGAGUGGGUUGCACCAGAAAGUAGGUAGUCUAACCUUCGGGAGGACGGUAC
rnacentral:rRNA from 1 species